GUGUGGGAUAAAACCCGUGUAAUUCUAUGGCUAAUAUCCUCUUUCCUGUGAGGGUAGUGUUUAUUGAGANCCACCCACCUUCGGGUGGUCCUGUGAUUCAUAGUAACCGAACGGAUCGCAUUAUGGCCUUUUGGUCGGCGAUGGAUCAUUCAAGUUUCUGACCUAUCAGCUUUCGACGGUACUGUAUUGGACUACCGUGGCAGUGACGGGUAACGGGGAAUUAGGGUUCGAUUCCGGAGAGGGAGCCUGAGAAACGGCUACCACAUCUAAGGAAGGCAGCAGGCGCGCAAAUUACCCAAUCCUGACUCAGGGAGGUAGUGACAAGAAAUAACAACACUGGAAAUUAUAUUUCUAGUGAUUGGAAUGAUGGGAAUCCAAACCCCUUUCAGAGUAACAAUUGGAGGGCAAGUCUGGUGCCAGCAGCCGCGGUAAUUCCAGCUCCAAUAGCGUAUAUUAAAGUUGUUGCAGUUAAAAAGCUCGUAGUUGGAUAUCUGCUGGAAGCAGCCAGUCCGCCCUUUGUGGGUGUGCACUUGGUGAAUUCUGGCAUCCUCCUGAUUGGUGUUAUCAUCACUUCAUUGUGUUGAUGGCAGCUGUCAGGACCGUUACUUUGAGAAAAUUAGAGUGUUUCAAGCAGGCUUGUUGCCUUGAAUACUGCAGCAUGGAAUAACAAGAUAGGAUUUCGGUUCUAUUUUGUUGGUUUCUAGGACUGAAGUAAUGAUUAAUAGGGACAGUUGGGGGCAUUCGUAUUUAACUGUCAGAGGUGAAAUUCUUAGAUUUGUUAAAGACGAACUACUGCGAACAUUUUGCCCAA
rnacentral:rRNA from 1 species